CCUACGGGAGGCAGCAGUGGGGAAUAUUGCACAAUGGGGGAAACACUGAUGCAGCGACGCCGCGUGAGUGAAGAAGUAAUUCGUUAUGUAAAGCUCUAUCAGCAGGGAAGAAAAUGACGGUACCUGAGUAAGAAGCCACGGCUAACUACGUGCCAGAAGCCGCGGUAACACGUCGGGGGCAAGCGUUAUCCGGAUUUGCUGGGUGUAAGGGGAGCGUAGACGGCAGUGCAAGUCUGGAGUGAAAGGCGGGGGCUCAACCCCCGGACUGCUCUGGAAACUGUACUGCUGGAGUGCAGGAGAGGUAAGUGGAAUUCCUGGUGUAGCGGUGAAAUGCGUAGAUAUUAGGAGGAACACCAGUGGCGAAGGCGGCUUACUGGACUGUAACUGACGUUGAGGCUCGAAAGCGUGGGUAGCAAACAGGAUUAGAUACCCUGGUAGUC
rnacentral:rRNA from 1 species